CAUUCUAUGGGACUGUCGCGUGUUUUCAAGUAUCAGAGAGACCGUCUACAGCAGCAAAAACUGUUUUAUUGUGGUCGAGAUAGGACUAACGUUUCAGUUUCUCGAUAAGGAGACCCUCUCACUCCUGAAUUUUAAUCAUCUGGUGCAGUGUGGAGUUGUCUUUUGUUCACGGUCGUCGCCACCACCGCCAUUCCCUUCCUGUUUAUUAAAGUCGAUCGCCGGCAUUGCGAAGGACGUUGCAGGAGCGACAACGGCGACACAAUAACGUAUGUCGACACGACAGACAGACAGACGAGUUCUUUCUGAGCACCAUGCCACUGUUUCGACUGCUGAUUUUCAUCAGUCUCAUUGCAGAAAUGGCAGCCUCAACGCAACCGUUAAUGUCAUCCUUGGUAACACAAGAAAUGGCACCUUCAGAACAAGAGAUAACUUCAACAUUAAUGACACAAG